rnacentral:tRNA from 1 species
GGGUAGGUGCCCGAGUGGUUUAAGGGGGCGGUCUGUAAAACCGUUGGCCAACGCCUUCGUGGGUUCGAAUCCCACCCUACCCA